rnacentral:rRNA from 1 species
CGGCGUCUACAAUGCAGUCGAGCGCUGCUUUUUCCUUCAGGAUUGGAUUAGCGGCGGACGGGUGAGUAACACGUGGGUAACCUGCCUCAUAUAAUGGAAUAGCCUUCCGAAAGGAAGAUUAGUACCCCAUAGCGUUGAAAGAUGGCCUCAUCAUUCCACCUGAGGAGCAAUCCGCUAUGACAUGGACCCGCGGCGCAUUAGCUGACUGGUGGGGUAACGGCCUACCAAGGCGACAAUGCGUCACCGACCUGACAGGGUGAUCGGCAACUUUGGGACUGAGACACGGCCCAGACUCCUACGGGAGGCAGCAACGCGGAAUAUUGCACAAUGGGGGAAACCCUGAUGCAUGAACGCCGCGUGAAUGAAGAAGGUUUUCGGAUCGGAAAGCUCUGUCUUUAGCGAAGAUCAUGACGGUACCCAAAGAGGAAGCCCCUGCUAACUACAUGCCCCCCUGCCCGGUACUACCUAGGUGGCGAGCGUUAUCCGGAUUUACUGGGCGUAAAGGGAGCGUAGGCGGAUGAUUAAGUGGGAUGUGAAAUACCCGGGCUCAACUUGGGUGCUGCAUUCCAAACUGAUUAUCUAGAGUGCAGGAGAGGAGAGUGGAAUUCCUAGUGUAGCGGUGAAAUGCGUGCAGAUUAGGAAGAAGACCAUCGGCGAAGGCGACUCUCUGGACUGUAUCUGACGCUGAGGCUCGAAAGCGUGGGCGAGCUCACUGGAUUGUAUACCCUGGUAGUCCUCGCCAUAAACGAUAGCUACUAGGAGUGGGGGUCUGACACCUCCCGUGCCGCCGCUAUGACAGUUAGUAUUCCGCCUGGGGAGUACCGUCGCUAGAUUAACAAAUCAAAAGGAAUUGCUCCGGGACGCCGCACAAGUACCGCAGCAUGUGGUUUCAUUCGAAAUCGACGGGGAAGAACCCUUACCUACACGUAGCCAGUCCCUUGCAUUUCCUCUUAAUCCGAAAGAAAUCCUCUUCCCGGGUCUUAAGAUGACUUGGUGGCUGCCAUGGGUGAUCGACCGUCUCCGCGUUCGUGAGAAUGAUGGGACUAAGGUCCCCCGCAGCGAGCGCAACACCCUUGUCGUUAGUGUACUGACCGAGUUAGAGUUCACGACAUCUAAGCCGACGACCUGCCUUAGGUUA